UGCAGUCGAACGGUAACAGGGGAGACUUGCUCCGCUGACGAGUGGCGAACGGGUGAGUAAUAUAUCGGAACGUACCCAAGAGUGGGGGAUAACGUAGCGAAAGUUACGCUAAUACCGCAUACGAUCUAAGGAUGAAAGCAGGGGAUCUUCGGACCUUGUGCUCCUGGAGCGGCCGAUAUCUGAUUAGCUAGUUGGUGAGGUAAAGGCUCACCAAGGCGACGAUCAGUAGCUGGUCUGAGAGGACGACCAGCCACACUGGAACUGAGACACGGUCCAGACUCCUACGGGAGGCAGCAGUGGGGAAUUUUGGACAAUGGGCGCAAGCCUGAUCCAGCAAUGCCGCGUGAGUGAAGAAGGCCUUCGGGUUGUAAAGCUCUUUUGUCAGGGAAGAAACGGGAGUGGCUAAUAUCCAUUCCUAAUGACGGUACCUGAAGAAUAAGCACCGGCUAACUACGUGCCAGCAGCCGCGGUAAUACGUAGGGUGCAAGCGUUAAUCGGAAUUACUGGGCGUAAAGCGUGCGCAGGCGGUUUUGUAAGUCUGUCGUGAAAUCCCCGGGCUCAACCUGGGAAUUGCGAUGGAGACUGCAAGGCUAGAAUCUGGCAGAGGGGGGUAGAAUUCCACGUGUAGCAGUGAAAUGCGUAGAGAUGUGGAGGAACACCGAUGGCGAAGGCAGCCCCCUGGGUCAAGAUUGACGCUCAUGCACGAAAGCGUGGGGAGCAAACAGGAUUAGAUACCCUGGUAGUCCACGCCCUAAACGAUGUCUACUA
rnacentral:rRNA from 2 species